rfam:Ictidomys tridecemlineatus contig045868, whole genome shotgun sequence.
GGGGUUGUGGCUCAGUGCUAGAGCGCUUACCUAGCACGUGCGAAGCCCUGGUUUCGAUCCUCAGCACCCCUA